rnacentral:rRNA from 1 species
ACCUACUAGCCAGCGACGGGUACGGGUUGUGAGAGCAAGAGCCCGGAGAUGGAUUCUGAGACAUGAAUCCAGGCCCUACGGGGCGCAGCAGGCGCGAAAACUUUACAAUGCGGGAAACCGUGAUAAGGGGACACCGAGUGCCAGCAUCAUAUGCUGGCUGUCCGGAUGUGUAAAAUACAUCCGUUAGCAAGGGCCGGGCAAGACCGGUGCCAGCCGCCGCGGUAACACCGGCGGCCCGAGUGGUGAUCGUGAUUAUUGGGUCUAAAGGGUCCGUAGCCGGUUUGGUCAGUCCUCCGGGAAAUCUGAUAGCUCAACUAUUAGGCUUUCGGGGGAUACUGCCAGACUUGGAACCGGGAGAGGUAAGAGGUACUACAGGGGUAGGAGUGAAAUCUUGUAAUCCCUGUGGGACCACCUGUGGCGAAGGCGUCUUACCAGAACGGGUUCGACGGUGAGGGACGAAAGCUGGGGGCACGAACCGGAUUAGAUACCCGGGUAGUCCCAGCCGUAAACGAUGCUCGCUAGGUGUCAGGCAUGGCGCGACCGUGUCUGGUGCCGCAGGGAAGCCGUGAAGCGAGCCACCUGGGAAGUACGGCCGCAAGGCUGAAACUUAAAGGAAUUGGCGGGGGAGCACAACAACGGGUGGAGCCUGCGGUUUAAUUGGACUCAACGCCGGACAACUCACCGGGGGCGACAGCAAUAUGUAGGCCAAGCUGAAGACUUUGCCUGAAUCGCUGAGAGGAGGUGCAUGGCCGUCGCCAGUUCGUACUGUGAAGCAUCCUGUUAAGUCAGGCAACGAGCGAGACCCGUGCCCACUGUUACCAGCAUGUCCUCCGGGACGAUGGGUACUCUGUGGGGACCGCCGAUGUUAAAUCGGAGGAAGGUGCGGGCCACGGUAGGUCAGUAUGCCCCGAAUCUCCCGGGCUACACGCGGGCUACAAUGGAUGGGACAAUGGGUCCCUCCCCUGAAAAGGGCUGGUAAUCUCACAAACCCAUUCGUAGUUCGGAUCGAGGGCUGUAACUCGCCCUCGUGAAGCUGGAAUCCGUAGUAAUCGCG